rnacentral:rRNA from 1 species
GCAAGUCGAGGGGUAACAGAUGAAGAGCUUGCUCAGAUUGCUGACGACCGACGCACGGGUGAGUCACACGUAUGCAACCUACCAUUUACAGAGGGAUAGCCCAGAGCAAUUUGGAUUAAUACCUCAUAAUAUUAUUAACUCGCAUGAGUUUUAAAUUAAAACUUCGGUGGUAAAAGAUGGGCAUGCGUUCUAUUAGUUUGUUGGUGAGGUAACGGCUUACCAAGGCUACGAUAGAUAGGGGUCCUGAGAGGAUAGUC